rnacentral:rRNA from 1 species
UAGGGAAUCUUCGGCAAUGGACGGAAGUCUGACCGAGCAACGCCGCGUGAGUGAAGAAGGUUUUCGGAUCGUAAAGCUCUGUUGUAAGAGAAGAACGAGUGUGAGAGUGGAAAGUUCACACUGUGACGGUAUCUUACCAGAAAGGGACGGCUAACUACGUGCCAGCAGCCGCGGUAAUACGUAGGUCCCGAGCAUUGUCCGGAUUUAUUGGGCGUAAAGCGAGCGCAGGCGGUUAGAUAAGUCUGAAGUUAAAGGCUGUGGCUUAACCAUAGUAGGCUUUGGAAACUGUUCAACUUGAGUGCAAGAGGGGAGAGUGGAAUUCCAUGUGUAGCGGUGAAAUGCGUAGAUAUAUGGAGGAACACCGGUGGCGAAAGCGGCUCUCUGGCUUGUAACUGACGCUGAGGCUCGAAAGCGUGGGGAGCAAACAGGAUUAGAUACCCUGGUAGUCCACGCUGUAAACGAUGAGUGCUAGGUGUUAGACCCUUUCCGGGGUUUAGUGCCGUAGCUAACGCAUUAAGCACUCCGCCUGGGGAGUACGACCGCAAGGUUG